AAAAGCUAUAUUACCUUAAUAAAAUCUCUAAAUAUCACCAAAGUAAUUGUUUGAGUCGGACAUACCAAAAUAAAUGCUUACAAAUCCAACAGUUAAUUUUGUCUUAAAUUAUUACUAUCAUUUAAGUUGAUGACACGAAAAUAAAUGAGUAUUUGACUAACAAAUUAUAUUUUUAAGAUAUCCUUAAUAUCUUUGGCAAAUUUCAGUCAAAAUAUUUGAGAAUUGGCUAAUUAUACUGAUCAGUUUCAGGAACAGCAAUUAUUACUCAUUCCAAAUCAAUAUUCUUCAUCUUUAACAACAACUUAAGAAAUUGAGUAAAUUACACUAAAACGUCAUGAGUGGACCCCAUUAACAAUCGCGCGCAAAUGCAGUGUGCUCAUGGGAAAUCUACUUUUCUAUCUGCGCCACAUGUGGCAACCGCAACAAGCAAGGAAACACCACGACGAGAACCACCAGGAAAACUCCCUGCAAAUCCUGCACCGACUGCGCUAACGGAGAGAAGUUGAACGAAGAUAACAAAACAGAGGAGGUUGCAGCUUAUGGAAUGGCAAUGUAAGCUCUGCACAUGUGUGGCUUCAGCGAAAGGGUCACUUCUCAAGCACUAUCGAUUGAAGCACGGUACCUUUGGAAUCUGGGAGAAGAUGCGAGUGCCUUGAUCAAGGACUUUGAGGAUGCUGCUGAUGCACCUGUCAGUGUACAAGAGGAGUUGGCAGAGGAGGUGAUGAAGAUGUACCUGCUGCAGAACCAAGAUGGGUCAGUCGAUGAACCUACUGAUGUAGGGAUUGUGAUUGAGGGCAUCCCUGUCCUCAGAAGUCUUAGGGAUCUUAGCAGAGCCUGCUGCUAUCUGUUGGGACUAACCUAUGCCUUGGAUCUGAGAUACCCCAAGAAUCUCAAAUAUAGUUUUGAGGUAUUCCAAAAACUACUGUUGGAGCUGGAUCCUGGCAACCUUUCAACCAAGGUUCAGAGACUGAAAAAUUGCCUGCAUAUGUAGUUGCCGACUACUGUUCAACAAGAUGCUAAAAGGUACGAGUUGAGAGUUCCAUUGAUUGAAUUGCAUUUUGGACUGGUAUUGUUGUAAAGUGUCACUGUUCUUGGUGCAUUUCAGUCAUAUGCAGAGUUCAGUUCAGCCCGUUGCUCCCAUAGCUCAAUGGAAAUGUUCACAUGCUCAUUGGCAAAAAUAUACCUGGUUGAAAGUUAAGCUAGAUAAAAUGUCUAAAAGUUUUAUUGCUAAAUAAUCAAAUUUGAGAUUUCCAUUGAUGCUAAGAUGUCUCUGCUGCAAUUGGUCUUGUUGCAUUUUACCCGUGUUUAAAAGGACCGCUUAGUUAUAUGCAGAGCUCAAUUCAGCUCAUCGUUUUUAUAGCUUGGCCAUUGUUACCAGGGCUCUCCCUUCUUAGUCGAUUAGUUGACUUUAUUUGUGGUUUUGGUCGAUGAAGAUUUCUUUAGUCAAUUAGUAAUAUUUUAAUGUAUUUUUUUUCAUGGUGAAUGACUUAUUUGUAAGAAACGUAUAUCUAUGAGUGGCCGUUAGGGACAUUAUUCAGAAAUACCAUUCACAUACACAUGUGAAGCACUCUCAUACACACAACUGAAACCAAAAUCAUUUACAAACAUAUGUAAAAAUCUCUCAUACACACAUGUGAAACGCUCUCACACACAUAUGAAACAAUCUCUUAUACACAAAUGAAACGCUAUCAUAUACACAUGAAAUGCGAUUUCAGUAUGUUGUGUGAGAGGGAUUUCAGUUGAAACGGAAGGCAUCUCAGUUGAUAAAGGAAGUCGAUUUCAGAAAAGCAAACACAAUAUUAUGUCCGUUUGCGAUUGUUCCAUCAUGUCU